CACGUUAAUUUAUACCCAAAUGAAAAGGCUGACAGGAUUUGAAUUUGGAUUAGGGAUAUCUUUAAUAUAUAGGUCAAAAUUUUUUGGAUUUCCCCAAACCAUUGAGCCUUCUAAUCCAUGAUUAUGUUACAUUUGCUUAGGUCUUCUCUGAUUCCACUGAUUAAUAUUUUAUCAUUCUCACCAUACUAAUCUUGCAUAUAUUUUGUUAAAUUUCUAUCUACAUGUUUCAAGUGCUUUAUCAUAGAUGUUUUAAAGAUAAUAUCCAAUAAUUAACUGCAAUUAUAUUUGCAUAUUGCCUGUGGUGUCUAGGGCCCGCGUGCCUAAGCUCACAGCUCCCUCCCCCGCCUUCACAGCCGCAAGCCGGGAUCCACUGCCGCCAUCAGUUUCCUGGCUCCGACUCUCCUACCUUCCUUGUCUGCCAGUAGAAUAAUCUGGAACAAUCUCUCUAUUGAAGGUGUGGGCAUCUCGGGGGGCCAUGGCCCUUGUUACCACAGCACCGGUCCCAGCUCGAACUCACCACGUUCUCCUAAACCAGCCUCUGCAACCCGAAAGCUGACGUGAGGGGCUCCCUGAGGGGGGCUCCUGUGUGCAGACUCCCCGUGCACCUGGGAGACUCGGCAGCCGCAGCAGCAUGGGACCACACCUGCUUUGCUCUCCAACUCACAACUCACCCUUCCCCGCCCCGAGCACGUGGACCCUUAAUUCCAGGCUCUGUGCUGCAGACCGAAGCCAGAGGUGGCAGUGCAUCCGUGGGACUCGGAAGGUGACGAUGACCGGGGUGCACGGCUCGUGUCUUUCACCUGUGUUCCUCCUUGGCACGAGCUGGGGAAGUCAGGGGCUGUUGUGUGACCUGGCAUGUGACCUGCGUUACGUGGCCUAGCUGACCUUUGGAACUCACAAGUGCACACAUGCCGUGUGGCACCACGGUUUAUUCCACUGAAUGUCCUCCUCUUCAACCUCCUCUCUCCCUAAGAGGAUUCCUCCUGUAAGCUAUCAGGAGAAGAGGAUCCCUCCUGUAAGGUGUCAAGAGAAGAGUCCGGAGAAUGCGGCAGUAUCGAGACUUGCACAUUGAGUGCCUUGCCUACCCCAUCCUUGUGUACUGUAGCGGCAAACAGGUGUGACAGCACUUCCCUUGAACACUGGGCAUUGAUACUGAAUUCCAGUGCCGCUGCGUUUAAGCGCAGAAAGCAAGGGCACCUUCCAAGUGAACAAGCUUGGAAUUGAAAUGCUUCCUUCAAACUUUUGAUGUAUAAGAAACAAAUACCCAGUUCACGCUACAACAGCAAUCUCUCAUGUUUGAUUGAUUGCGUGUCUCCAGAGGCAGAAAAAAAAUAAAAAAGUACAAAUGGCUUCUAAAGGAUUUUGA
rnacentral:lncRNA from 1 species